UAGCUUUAAGGUUUUAUUUAAAGUUUUACCUGCCCGGUGAUAUUUUUAACGGCCGCAGUACUUUGACUGUGCUAAGGUAGCAUAAUAAAUUGGCUUUUAAUUAAAGUCGGGUAUGAAAGGGACUUUGAAAAGCAACUGUCUCAAAUAUAUAUUAUUUUAAAUUAUUUAAUGAGUGAAAAUCCUCAUAAAUUUUUACAUUAGACGAGAAGACCCUUAGAGUUAUAAUUAAAAUGAAUUUUUUUCAUAUCUCAUUUUUGUUGGGGCAACAAAGAUUGGAUAUAACCGUCAUAAAGUUAUUCAACAUAACCAAUAUAUUUAAAAAGAAAUAAACUACCUUAGGGAUAACAGCAUAAUUAAUUUUUAGAUUGUGACCUCGAUGUUGGAUUAAGGACUUUUUUUACUAGCCGUAAAUAAAGAUGGUUCUGUUCGAACUAUAAUACCUU
rnacentral:rRNA from 1 species